GGGAAUGUGGCUCAGUGGUAGAGUGCCUGCCUAGCAUGCAGGAAGCCCUGGGUUUGAUUCCUCAGCACCA
rnacentral:tRNA from 1 species